GGCUCAGUUGGUAGAGCAUGGCACUUGCAAUGCUAGGGUUGUGGGUUCGAUUCCCAC
rnacentral:tRNA from 1 species